rnacentral:rRNA from 1 species
AGCUCUCCGAGUGGUGGGGACGAUUAUUGGGCUUAAAGCGUUCGUAGCCGGCUUAACAAGUCUUCCGUUAAAUCCAACGAUCUAAUCGUUGGGCUGCGGGAGAUACUGUUGGGCUAGGAGGCGGGAGAAGCCGACGGUAUUCUCGGGGUAGGGGUGAAAUCCUGUAAUCCCGGGAGGACCACCAGUGGCGAAGGCGGUCGGCUAGAACGCGCUCGACGGUGAGGGACGAAAGCUGGGGGAGCGAACCGGAUUAGAUACCCGAGUAGUCC